rnacentral:lncRNA from 1 species
CCCACAGAGUGUAUGCAGCUGCAACAUAAGGAAGGAGUCACAAUUCUGCCAAAGAAUAUGAAAGGCAUAACACCAACUAAGUCUAAAAACCAUACCUGUUGGCAUUUAAUAUCAGGAUCUGCAGAAGCCCAAUAAAACAGGGCACCAUCAUCCAUAAGAGCCAGGCUAUGCACCAUCCCAGCAGCAAUAGCUACAGCAUGAAGACGCUCCAUGCGGUGAAACUUCAGAGGGGUACCACCACUUUUCUUCAGAUUUCUUGAAACGAUAACACGUC